rnacentral:misc_RNA from 1 species
GAAACGCGAAAGGUAAUGCGAAUUGCAGAAUCAGUGAGUCAUCGAAUCUUUGAACGCACAUUGCGCCUCUCGGUAUUCCGGGAGGCACGCCUGUUCGAGCGCCAUUACAAACUCCAAGCGUGGCUUGAUGUUGGGCGAUGUCUUUUUGCGAGAGCGGAGACACGCCUGGAACGCGUUGGCGCCGCCGCCGGACCACGAGCGUAGCAAGACGAGAGUCAAUCGCAUCGAUUUGGAUUCCGACGGAGGUCCGCCAUGGGACUGCACUUUCGAGUGUAAGUUCACAACUUCUCUCAAGUUUGGCCUCGGAUCAGGCGGGGAUACCCGCUGAACUUAAGC